GCGGAGAUGCCAGAGUGGUCAAAUGGGAUGCGUUUAGGCCGCAUUGGCUUACGCCUACGUGGGUUCGAAUCCCCCUCUCCGCA
rnacentral:tRNA from 1 species